rnacentral:rRNA from 1 species
AGAGUUUGAUCCUGGCUCAGAAUGAACGCUGGCGGCGUGCUUAACACAUGCAAGUCGCACGAGAACGCUUCAGCUUGCUGAAGUUAGUAAAGUGGCGCACGGGUGAGUAACGCGUGGGUAAUCUACCCCCGAAUUGGAGAUAACAUCGCGAAAGCGAUGCUAAUACCGAAUGAUAUCUUGAAAACUCUGUUUUCUGGAUCAAAGAUGGCCUCUACAUGUAAGCUAUUGUUUGGGGAUGAGCCCGCGUACCAUUAGCUUGUUGGUAGGGUAAUGGCCUACCAAGGCAACGAUGGUUAGCUGGUCUGAGAGGAUGAUCAGCCACACUGGAACUGACACACGGUCCAGACUCCUACGGGAGGCAGCAGUGAGGAAUUUUGCGCAAUGGGGGAAACCCUGACGCAGCAACGCCGCGUGAGUGAUGAAGGCUUUCGGGUCGUAAAGCUCUGUCAAGUGGGAAGAAACCAUAUGGUGUUAAUAUCGCCAUAUGCUAACGGUACCAUUGAAGGAAGCACCGGCUAACUCCGUGCCAGCAGCCGCGGUAAUACGGGGGGUGCGAGCGUUAUUCGGAUUUACUGGGCGUAAAGAGCGCGUAGGCGGUCUUUUAAGUCAGGUGUGAAAGCCCGGGGCUCAACCCCGGAAGUGCACUUGAAACUAAGAGACUUGAGUAUGGGAGAGGGAAGUGGA